UCUCUCUCCCUUCCUCUCUGAAAUCACUCAAAAGAAAAAAAGCAGCACCCACCUCACCUGGCCUAAGGGGUGCCUGCCUGGAAGCUUCUGUAGCCCUGACAGGUUUCCCUGACCUUGUCAGGCAGGAAGUGGGGGAGAGAGGAGCCAGGAGGACCGAAGAGCCAGGAGGGUGGGCACUUGGGUUUCCUCCCCUCCGGCUCCCUCCCACCUCACCCAUCCCGUGACCCCCAGGGGGAGCGAGGCACCACUGUCAUUGGUGGGCUUCCAGCUGGAACCCAUUUUCAGUCUCAGCCUCUUUCCGGGAUUUGACUUGGUGUUCUUUCCAAAGCCCCGGAUGGAUCUACAAGUGAUGCCAGCCCAGGGAGGGGGGCGCCUGAAUCUCAUCUUGCGGGCAGAGGUAGCACACCAGCCGGGUGAACAAAGCCCAUCGGGUCUGUCCAGAGCUGCUCGUCCCUACAGCCUCCAGCGACCACACGCCAAAAACGUUGGAGAUGAAAGUGUGCUGGACUGGGAGCAUCUGCCACAAGUGGUUUGGCAUAACAUCUGCGUCCCUUGGUAGCGUUUAUCUCUUCACUGAGCAGCUAACCUUCUCGAGCCAUCCAUGCGCCACAUCCGGGGGGACACUGUGUUAGGAACCCUUGCCAGGUCUGAGGUCUGCUCUCUGGGGCCACCUGCUUCCCUGUCUGGGCCUUGGUUUCUUUACCUGUGAAAUAGAGAUCGU